UUUUUUUUUUUUUUUUCUUUUUACUUUUUUCCUUCUUCUCUCUUCCUUCUCUCUUCUGCUGUUCCUAUUGCACUUCUCACUUUCACACUAUAUUUUAAAAAACAACAAAUUUUUUCUUUUAUUUUAAUUGUUUGUUAUAUAUUGUGAUAUAUAUAGGUAUUGUGAAUUUGUGCCAUGCGGGAUUCUGGGUAUUGUUAAUUUUACCUAUUUUUAUUUGUUGUUUAAUUUUUUGUUAU
rnacentral:misc_RNA from 1 species